UACGUAGGGACCAAGCGUUGUCCGGAAUCAUUGGGCGUAAAGAGCGUAUAGGCGGCUUGUUAAGUCUUGCGUGAAAUCUCGGGGCUCAACCCCGAGCGGUCGUGAGAAACUGGCAGGCUAGAGUGCAAGAGAGGAGAGUGGAAUUCCUGGUGUAGCGGUGAAAUGCGCAGAUAUCAGGAAGAACACCCGUGGCGAAGGCGGCUCUCUGGAACGCAACUGACGCUGAGACGCGAAAGCGUGGGGAGCAAACAGG
rnacentral:rRNA from 1 species